GUGGGUAGUUUGACUGGGGCGGUCUCCUCCUAAAGAGUAACGGAGGAGCACGAAGGUUGGCUAAUCCUGGUCGGACAUCAGGAGGUUAGUGCAAUGGCAUAAGCCAGCUUGACUGCGAGCGUGACGGCGCGAGCAGGUGCGAAAGCAGGUCAUAGUGAUCCGGUGGUUCUGAAUGGAAGGGCCAUCGCUCAACGGAUAAAAGGUACUCCGGGGAUAACAGGCUGAUACCGCCCAAGAGUUCAUAUCGACGGCGGUGUUUGGCACCUCGAUGUCGGCUCAUCACAUCCUGGGGCUGAAGUAGGUCCCAAGGGUAUGGCUGUUCGCCAUUUAAAGUGGUACGCGAGCUGGGUUUAGAACGUCGUGAGACAGUUCGGUCCCUAUCUGCCGUGGGCGCUGGAGAACUGAGGGGGGCUGCUCCUAGUACGAGAGGACCGGAGUGGACGCAUCACUGGUGUUCGGGUUGUCAUGCCAAUGGCACUGCCCGGUAGCUAAAUGCGGAAGAGAUAAGUGCUGAAAGCAUCUAAGCACGAAACUUGCCCCGAGAUGAGUUCUCCCUGAGACUUUAGGUCUCCUGAAGGAACGUUGAAGACGACGACGUUGAUAGGCCGGGUGUGUAAGCGCAGCGAUGCGUUGAGCUAACCGGUACUAAUGAACCGUGAGGCUUAACCUUACAAC
rnacentral:rRNA from 2 species